UGGACCGAUGAUGACAGAGUGCUAGAUACCAAGGACAUGAUUAGUUCAAUUCUGUCCAACCUAAAAUCCCCA
rnacentral:snoRNA from 14 species